rnacentral:rRNA from 1 species
CCUACGGGAGGCAGCAGUGGGGAAUAUUGGGCAAUGGGCGCAAGCCUGACCCAGCAACGCCGCGUGAAGGAAGAAGGCUUUCGGGUUGUAAACUUCUUUUCUCAGGGACGAAGCAAGUGACGGUACCUGAGGAAUAAGCUACGGUUAACUACGUGCCAGCAGCCGCGGUAAUACGUAGGUGGCAAGCGUUAUCCGGAUUUACUGGGAGCAAAGGGCGGGUAGGCGGGACGGCAAGUCAGAUGUGAAAACCCUGGGCUCAACCUGGGGCCUGCAUUUGAAACUGUUUUUCUUGAGUACUGGAGAGGCGGACGGAAUUCCUGGUGUAGCGGUGAAAUGCGUAGAUAUUAGGAGGAACACCAGUGGCGAAGGCGGUCUGCUGGACAGCAACUGACGCUGAGGCGCGAAAGCGUGGGGAGCAAACAGGAUUAGAUACCCUAGUAGUC